CACGUAGGGGGCGAGCGUUGUCCGGAUUCAUUGGGCGUAAAGCGCGCGCAGGCGGCUCGGAAAGUCGGGUGUGAAAACUCGGGGCUCAACCCCGGGCGUGCAUCCGAUACUGCCGGGCUUGAGGCAGGUAGGGGAGAUCGGAAUUCCUGGUGUAGCGGUGAAAUGCGCAGAUAUCAGGAGGAACACCGGUGGCGAAGGCGGAUCUCUGGGCCGAUACUGACGCUGAGGAGCGAAAGCGUGGGGAGCGAACAGG
rnacentral:rRNA from 1 species